rnacentral:lncRNA from 1 species
GGUUACUGCUGUUACUGAAGCGUUUCCCACAAUGUAGGCAUUUCUUGCCUCUCAGGGGUUUGUCACGUGAAGUACAUUCACUGUGCAUUGUGACGCUCUUGCCUUUUUCUAUGCACUGACUUCGUUUCUCCUCUAGGUGGACUGUGUCAAGUCUUUUGAUAUCUGAGGCACCCUUGAAUGUUUAUUUGCCUAGGGAAACCUUUGUCCUUUCUUUUGAUUUUUUUCAGGUCAUCAGAAGUGUAUCAAAUUCCCUAGCAGGAGAAGCUGGAGUUUUCUUUAUCUGUUUUUUCCUGGCUUCCCUUCUUCCCCUUUUCCUACUUCUAAGAUUUUUUUGUGCUCCACACUUGGGUUUUGUUUUCAGUGAAAGAAUGACUGGCUCCAUAGAAUUCCUGUCAUCCUCUUCAUCACCUUAUAGAGGAAAAAAAAGAGAUAAAAGAGGAGUGCAACGUAAAAGAAAUAUCUUACUUGUUUGGAGAAGUUCAAAUCCCAAGGGCCCGAUGAAGUGCAUCUAAGGAUACUGAAGGAACAGGUUGAAGAAAUUGCAGAACCACUGUCUAAAUAUUCUCGUGUCAUCAUGGGAGGUGGGUGACGAGCCAGACAGGUGGAGGGGAGCUGACAAUGUCCCUAUCUAUAAAAAGGAGAACCCGGGAACUGCAAACCAUUCAGCCUGACAUCCAUCUCAGCGAAAAUUCUUGAGCAGAUUACAGAACAGACACUUUGCAAGCAGAUUCCAAAGAAGGCAGUUAGAACUGAAAACCGACAUAGAAAGACUGAAGGAACUGGACAUGUAUUGCUUUGAGAAAAAGCGUCUGGGGGGAAGAGAGACGUGAUUUUUUUCUUUUUCUUUUUUCGAACAUGGCGGACGGGUGCUACUUUGUAUUGGUCUGGUCUCUGUGGUUUGUUAUUUGUUUUCUUUUGUUAAAUUGUGUUUAAUUAUUUUUUACCUCAUUUGAUCCUAAAAGCCGGCAUUUCAACAAGAGACAGAAAUGACUGUAAGAGGGAUGGAAUCUCAGGGGGUGAGUGAAAACCUUGGGCUGGGUGUUCUUCUAAGAACAUCAUGGGAGGUUCAGAGUGGCUCCCCCACUUGACAGCAGUACCGUCACUAACAUCCAGAAAAUUGUGGGAACUGAAUGAUCCAUUCAUGAUGGACAGUCUAAUCUCUUGGGACUUAAUCCAUUGGAUUUCUGAACAGGAAGGGCAUUUAGGGUCCUGCUGAAGUCCUGGAUUAACAUCUCAUUUGAAUCUCAAUUUUAAAUUUUGGAUUAGGCUCCCACACCUACCGUCACUUACAGAAAUUGAUGAAGGCUCAGAAGAUGUUCGGAUCAAAUUCCUAACAUUGUUACCAUCUGUACCCAGGACAAGAUUUAUAGGGCAUUUUCUUUUAACAACAUAAUGAGGCUUUAAACUUUAUAGGAUACAGAAAACUUUCCCACCAAGUUUUAUUGAUACACUGCUUUUCAUGGAGAGGGAAGGCAAGAGAAUAUGGUUUGGAUGUAUUUGAAACAUCGUGUA